CUGCAGCAGGGAUGAUUGUAAAGAGAAGCUAUACCUGCAGUUUUACCAACAGAUGCAGAAAGAAUAUGGUGGAGAGAGACCUGACUGUGUCAUUGUUGCCAUCAGCAAGGAGCAAAAGUAGUUUCUAUUACAAUCUUUUGGCUAAUUCUAUUACAGAAAUGAUAGCUACAUAGGUAUUCACAUUAAACCAGUGCAGCACCAACAGGAAGCUAAACUAAAGUCUUUCCUUAACUAAGAAGAUACCACUGACACAACUGGCUGUAGUGGAAGUCCUGUUACUCUAUAGACUGGCUACCUUUCAGGAGGUCCCAGCAUGGACAGCAGCAGUUCCAAGGGUGCUGUGGCUUUGACGACAGACGUGAGAGUGAACUCGAACCUCUUCCAGUGGAGGGGCUUGGGGUGCUCCGAUCAGGGCUCCUCACCUUGCCAGCAGCUGCUCCGAACCAGGUAGGGGCUCGCUCACAAAUAAACCUUC